rnacentral:rRNA from 3 species
AAACUUUCAACAACGGAUCUCUUGGUUCUGGCAUCGAUGAAGAACGCAGCGAAAUGCGAUAAGUAAUGUGAAUUGCAGAAUUCAGUGAAUCAUCGAAUCUUUGAACGCACAUUGCGCCCCUUGGUAUUCCGGGGGGCAUGCUUGUUCGAGCGUCAUUA